UUCAUACUCUUGCUCAUGGAAUUUCUUUUCCACUCAGAGUCCCCUUUAACAUUUCUUGUAAGAUUAAUUUAAUCAUCAUGAAUUCCUUUAACUUUUGUUUUUAUGACACACUCUAUCUCUCCUUCUAUUCUGAAUUAUCACCUUGCUGUAGAGUAUUCGUGGCUGCAAACUUUUUCCUUUUAGCACUUAAAAUAUAUCAUGCCACAGACUUCUGGCCUGCAGAGUAUCUGCUGAAAAAUCAGCUGAUCUCCUGGUGGAGUUUCCCUUGUAUGUAACUUUUUUUUUUCUCUCUCUUGCUGCUUUUAAAAUUCUCUUUAUUGGUACCUUUUGCUGCUUUAAUUAUUAUGUGUCUUUGUGUAAACCUCCUCGAGUUGAUUUCGUGGGGUGUAUCUCUGUGCCUCCUGGACCUGCAUUUCUGUUUCUUUUCCCAGAUUUGGGAACUUAUUAUUACUCAAAUUAAUUUUCUUCCCGCAUUUCUCUCUCCUUCUGGUACCCCUAUGAUGUGAAUGUUAUUACACUUGAUUAUGUCACUGUGUUCCCUAAGUCCAUUCUCAUUUUGCAUGUUUUUUUUCUCUCACUUGCUCUGUUUAAUUACUUUCUAUUACUCUGCCCUCCAGGUCAUUGAUAUGUUCUGCUUUCUUUAGUCUUCUAUUUACUCCAUCAAAUAUAUUUUUAGUUUCAUUUAUUGUGUUCUUUUCUGAUUGGUUCUUUUUCAUCUCCUUUUUAAGAUUCUUACUGAUGUCCUCCACUAUUUUCUCAAGUCAGGGCAGGAAUCACUUUGGAGUGGUGCCAGCCUCUGCUGGGGCUGUUUAUACACUGCCAGAUUUAAUUGGCUUUCUUUCUCCUUUUCUGGAUGUGGAAUUGUAGACUUCACUUUCUUCUCUUAAAACAGGUAUGUUUAAAGCUUUACAUUUUCCUCCUAAACUAUGCUUUAGAUGUGUCCCACAAAUUUCGAAAUUGUUUUUAUUAUUAAACUUAAAAUAGUUUCUACUUUUCACUGUGAGUUCUUCUUUGAACUAGUGGUCAUUUGCAAUGUGUUGCUUAAUUUUUAAAUGUUUAUACUUUUUAUUUUUUUUAAGUUUAAAUUCCAGUUGACUAACAUACAGUGUAAUAUUAGUUUCAGGUGUACAAUAUGGUGAUGCUGCACUUCCAUACACCCAGUGCUCAACAUAAGUGUGCACCUUAAUCCCAUCACCUAUUUCACCCAUCUCUACACCACCUCCCCACUGGUAACCAUCAUUUUGUUGUCUAUAGUUAAGAGUCUGUUUCUUGGGGUUUUUUUUCCUCUCUCUCCCCACCUUUACUCUUUUUUUUGUCUCUUAAAUUUCAUAUAUGAGUGACAUCACAUGGUAUUUGUCUUUCUCUGACUUAUUUCACUUAGUAUAAUAGUCUCUCGCUCCAUCCAUGUCACUGCAAAUGGGAAAAUGUCAUUCUUUUUUACAGUUGAGUAAUAUUCCACUGUGUAUAUAUACAACAACUUCUUUAUCCAUUCAUCAGUUCCUGAACACUCGGGCUGUUUCCAUAAUUUGACUCUUGGAAAUAAUGUUGCUGUAAGCAUUGAAGUUCAUGCAUCCCUUUGAAUUAGUAUUUUUGUGUGCUUUUAUAUUUCCUUAAGCAGUCCACUAUAUUUUUUUUCAAGUUUUUAUUUAAAUUCUAGUUAGUUAACAUAGAGUGUUAUAUUAGUUGCAGGAGUAGAAUUAAAAAGGUGUCUCAUUGUCAUUGAUUUGUAGCUUAAUUUCACACAUAGACAGGCUGGAAACAUAUCAACAAAAUCAGCUGGUGUAUGUUCAUAUAUAAUGACUCUCUCUCUACUGGAGUGUGACUAAUGUCCUAUGCUGUCAUCUACUGACAACUGAUGGGAAUGCAAGCAUAUUUUUUUAUUAUUGGAGUAAAAUUUGUAAAUAACAUAAGUUUCAGGUGUACAGCAUUAAAAUUCAAUACCUGUAUACACUACAAAGUGAUCACCACAAAAAGUCUAGUUACCAUCUAUUACCAUAAAUAUACCCCCUUUACCCAUUUUUCCCACCCUCAACACAGUUCCCCUCUGGUAAUCAUCAAGCAGUUCUCUGUAUCUGAGUUUGUUUUUAUAUUAUUUGUCUUUUAUUUGGGUUUUUUUAGAUUCCAUACAUUAAUGAAAUCAUGUGGUAUUUGUCCUCCAUCUGACUUAUUUCACUUAGUUUAAUACCCAAGGCCCAUCCGUUUAUACAGAAUGAACUUCUUAUGCUGCCAUUCUGAACCCCUCUCCCUGGAGUGCAAACAUUUCUUAAAUGAUUUCAAGUAAUCAACUUUUUAAAAAACUUAAGCCAAGAGACUAUGAACAAAACUUUUUUGAGUGACUAAGACUGCUUUCAGACUGAAUAAAACCCCUAAUAUGCUGAUGAUAUAUGAAAAAAAUUCUUUUACUGAAAACAGUGAAAACUAUUAUUUUUGUUAUCUGAUGUAAACUUACACUUGAUCCCUAGGAUACAAAGAUCUAUGGGCACUUUAAAAACUAAUUGGCUGGUUCUGCCCUGCAGCCAGGCUGCAGGCCUGUGAGGCUCCUCACUGCCGCAGGUAAGAUUUACUUGAGAUUUAUGUAAGUAGGGGGCUCCUGUUCUGAUGUAUGUGGAGUGGUUGAGCUGGAGACUUGAGAGCAUGGCUCCCAACGAGGCUGUCUGCUGCCCAAGAAGAGUCGUGGUGGGAGCUGGUGUGUGAAAUCCAACAUGGUGGAGAAGUAGGGGGACUUGAAGUUCCCUCGUCCCUCAAACACAGCAGUCUAGAGGCCAGAGGACUUUGAAUUUCAAGAGUCUGGGCUGCAGAGUGACAGAGAUGUCUCCAGGGGCCGAUGGGGACAACCUGGUAGGCUAUAUGUGCAUGAUUGUGAACUCGGAAAGAUAAAAUGGGUGGUGUAAGCACAGAGGGGAGGGAUCCCCCUUCUGCAGAGAGGCAAAGGGAAGAGAAAGAGAGGCUGUGGAAGUGCAGGACUGUGUUUAUACAAGAGAAAAACCAUGGGCAGGGGGUCAGAAAAAAAACGGAGAAAGAUCCAAUCUCUAACUGUGGGGCUUUCUCUGGACUGGGGCUGGGUGUCCAGUUUGCACACCUGGGGAGGAGGGGAGCCUGCUCUGGGCUCAGUAACUGGUUCGGAAGUGCAGUUUUCAGUGGGAGAAAGCAACCCCCUCCCUUGAGUGCUGUGGGAAGAAGGUAUAUAACCAUUCAAAGGACAAAGGACCAUGCCUGUGCCCACCAGUAAGGGGCCAUUUAUUGGUAGGGUGGAGUGGCACUUCCCUGGAAUCAGGGUGCGUGGAGCAGGAUCCUUUAGAACAUCUGGGUUUGAAUCCCAGGUGAGCUUCAGGGAGGUGCAGGAGACUGUGGAGCCAAAGAACAAAACAAAACCAACCAAACAAACAAACAAAAAACGGGCCUAUUUGUGCUUGCACAGCACUGGAGGGCUGCCUGAACAGAGUUCAGGACAGUUCAGGAUUGGGUUUGGGACACCCAAUCUGGGGAGGAGAGACUGGGUGUCACCAUUUUUCUCCCCAUCAACAGAGUGGUGCUUCAGGGAAUGGACAGCAGACCCACGGUGGAGGCAGGACCUGCCUACACCAAACCACUCCCUUCAGCACCUGUUAAGUGGAUAUCUACCUGACGCUGACCAACCAGACAGCCCCUCCUCCAGACCAGCACUGCCACUGGUUCCAAGGCACCAAGUGGUUUUGCAUUUUCUAAUUUAAUUUGUGUAUGUAUAUAUAUAUAUAUAUUUUUUUUUUCUUCCUUUUAUCCUUUGUAUUUCUUUCCUCCUCCAGUCUGGUUAUUCUGGUUGUUGGUUUGUUUAAGCAGACAUAUUUAAUCUAUUCUCUUUAUACCUAUUCUAUAUCUCCUUCUUUACUUUCCCCCCUCUCUCUCUGGAUUAAGCCAUAUGGUUUCUCUGCCUAGUCAAUUUUCUUUUCCUUUCUUUUUCCCUACCCUUGUUAUUUCUCUCUUUGUAUGGGAUGAGGCCUCUUGACCAACACUUCACUCCCUCCCCCAUUUUUUUUGGUUUGUUUAUGGGGUUUUUUUGUUUUUAACUUUUUUUCCAGGGCUACUUCAAUGAACAAAUCAAAGCACACCUGGUGGAGGGCCCAAAACAUCACUACGAAUAGGGAGAUAAAACAACCAGAGUUCAAACAAGAGAGAGCACAUAACACAUUCCAAAAACAUCUCCUGAAUGGCCAGGUCCUGGACAGUGUAUGACCCCUCUUUAAUAUAGUAGUGCUUGCCCAUAACAAGCUUUUAAAACACAUAAGGGACAGAAAACCAAAAUGAUGAAACAGAAGAAUUCUCCUCAAAAGAAAUUCCAAGAAGAAAUGACAGCUAAAGAAUUGAUCAAAACAGAUAUAAACAAUAUAGCUGUUCAAGAAUUUAGAAUAAUAGUCAUAAGAUUAAUCACUGGGCUUGAAAAAAGCAUAGAAGACAGCAGAGAAUCUUCCUGCAGAGAUCAAGAAACCAUGAAUUAAAAAAUGUUGUAAAUGAGGUGCAAAAUAAACUAGAUGUGGUGGCAGCGAGGAUUGAAGAGGCAGAGGGGGAUAAUAAGUGAAAUAGAAGAUAAAAUUAUGGAAAAAGAUGAAGCUGGGAAAAGAGACAAAAUAUUCUAGAGCAUGAGGGGAGACUUAGAGAACUAAGUAAUUCAAUGAAACAUAAUAAUAUCUGUAUCAUAGGAGUCCCAGAAGAAGAAGAAGAGAAAAGGGUGGAAGGUGUACUUGAACAAAUCAUAGCUGAGAACUUCCCCAAUCUGGGGAAAGAAACAGACAUUGAAAUCCAGGAGGCAGAGAGAACUCUCUUCAGACAUAACAAGAAUCGAUUUUCUGCAUGGCAUGUCAUAGUGAAACUGACAAAAUACAAAGGUAAAGAGAGAAUUCUGAAAGCAGCUAGGGACAAAUGGGCCUUAACCUACAUGGGUAGACACAUAAGGGUAGUAGCAGACCUAUCUUCUGAAACUUGGCAGGCCAGAAGGGAGUGGCAGGAAAUAUUCAAUAUGAUGAAUAGGAAAAUAUGCAGCCAAGAAUCCUUUAUCCAUCAAGCCUGUCAUUCAGAAUAGAAGGAGAGAUAAAGGUUUUUCCAGACAAACAAAAACUGAAGGAGUUCAUCACCACUAAACCAGCCCUAUAAGAGAUCCUAAGGGGGACUCUGUGAGUGGAAUGUUGCAAAGACCACAAAGGGACAGAGACAUCACUAUAAUGUCUCUGAGCAUUGAACCUACAGCACAAAACCUACAGAUAACACAAUGAAACUAAAUCCAUAUCUUUCAAUAAUAACGCUGAAUGUAAAUGGACUAAAUGUUCCAAUCAAAAGACUUAGGGUAUCAGAAUGGAUUAAAAAACAAGACCCAUCUAUUUGCUGUCUA